AACGAACGCUGGCGGCAUGCCUAAUACAUGCAAGUCGAACGAGAUCUUCGGAUCUAGUGGCGCACGGGUGCGUAACGCGUGGGAAUCUGCCCUUGGGUUCGGAAUAACUUCUGGAAACGGAAGCUAAUACCGGAUGAUGACGUAAGUCCAAAGAUUUAUCGCCCAAGGAUGAGCCCGCGUAGGAUUAGGUAGUUGGUGAGGUAAAGGCUCACCAAGCCGACGAUCCUUAGCUGGUCUGAGAGGAUGAUCAGCCACACUGGGACUGAGACACGGCCCAGACUCCUACGGGAGGCAGCAGUAGGGAAUAUUGGACAAUGGGCGAAAGCCUGAUCCAGCAAUGCCGCGUGAGUGAUGAAGGCCUAGGGUUGUAAAGCUCUUUUACCCGGGAUGAUAAUGACAGUACCGGGAGAAUAAGCUCCGGCUAACUCCGUGCCAGCCGCCGCGGUAAAAC
rnacentral:rRNA from 1 species